rnacentral:rRNA from 1 species
GAUGAACGCUGGCGGCGUGCCUAAUACAUGCAAGUCGAGCGAACAGACGAGGAGCUUGCUCCUCUGACGUUAGCGGCGGACGGGUGAGUAACACGUGGAUAACCUACCUAUAAGACUGGGAUAACUUCGGGAAACCGGAGCUAAUACCGGAUAAUAUAUUGAACCGCAUGGUUCAAUAGUGAAAGACGGUUUUGCUGUCACUUAUAGAUGGAUCCGCGCCGCAUUAGCUAGUUGGUAAGGUAACGGCUUACCAAGGCAACGAUGCGUAGCCGACCUGAGAGGGUGAUCGGCCACACUGGAACUGAGACACGGUCCAGACUCCUACGGGAGGCAGCAGUAGGGAAUCUUCCGCAAUGGGCGAAAGCCUGACGGAGCAACGCAGCGUGAGUGAUGAAGGUCUUCGGAUCGUAAAACUCUGUUAUUAGGGAAGAACAAAUGUGUAAGUAACGAUGCACGUCUUGACGGUACCUAAUCAGAAAGCCACGGCUAACUACGU